CCUGGCUAAAGAAUAAAAGUUGUUCGACAUUCCUUUUAAGAAAAAGAGUUUCUUGGUGAAGGUACUGAUGCCUUUAAUGUGGAACUUAUGAGGUUCGAUAGAUAGAAGAUCUGACACAAUCUAGUAAACUCAUAGAAUCAGAUUUGAUUAGAUCAAAUUCAAAACCUAUUGUAAAAGCACCAUUAAGAAGAUUCGGUAGAGUACCGUGUCCGUUGGAUAGAUACUUCGGUAUCUAGGUCCAGGAUGUGAUCCUAUUGAACUCGAUGAGAAC
rnacentral:lncRNA from 1 species